rnacentral:tRNA from 1 species
UGUGGCUCAGUGGUACAGUGCUUGCUUUGCAUGCAAGAGGCCCUGAGUUUAAUUCCUAGCA